rnacentral:lncRNA from 1 species
UCCUUAAAACUCCAAAAUUGCAGGGAAGCCCUUCUGGGUCGCAGCAACAGUGCUGGAACAGUGGCACCCCGUCACUGGCGGCGCGUGGGUUCACGCGCCGCCGUGAUAACGCCGGAAAAGAUGGGUCCGGCUCAGCUUCUUCUCCUCUUCUCUUCUCUGCCGGUGGUGCAUCUCCCAGUCACCUGCACAAGAAGCAAAAACACACAAAUACAACACAUGGCAGUUGAUUUUAAACUUUUUUUCCUUGUUUUCGGAUCUGUUCUCG